GGUAUGUAUUUCAACCCCACAAAUAAGCCCCGGAAGACUUAUCUUGUGUUUUGAAAUAGAAC
rfam:Bacillus pumilus SAFR-032, complete genome.